AAACAAUGUUGUGUUUCAAACCAGUGGUUCCCAACCUUUCUGAUAUGCCUCACAGCCCCUUUAUCGACUCAAUUUAAACUGGAUCUGGACAGCUUUUACCUUACAAUAUCAAGGUUUUGCAGUCAUGUGACCACUAACUGCAUGGUGUUAACUUGUCUAGCAUUUUUUGUAAAUGUGACAAAUGUCAGGUCAGUUGAAUAAGACGCCAAUGCCACCACCGGUCGCAAGGGAAAAAUGUGUAUCUUGCCAGACACCCGACUAUUUGGCAAAAAGCUUGAUUUUGUUGGUUGGUAGUUGGUUUGCCUCAAACUUUUAAAACUUCUACUACUGCCUCAGCAAGUAUUUUAUGAGUAUUUGCAGACAACUGGCACCUUCCACGCAAAUUACAGGCAACCGUGGCAAUCUGCAUUAAACAUCGAAAAGGAAGCCUCCUCUUUGGAGCUGAUUUCAUACCGACAGCCAGCGACUUCCAGCAAACACUCGCCAACCAGUUGAGGAAGCCUGUGAGUAAGAGGAGGUCAGUCUUGCCCUCAGCUGGAGGGCAACGUGGGGUAACUGAUGGAGAGAAACCAGAAGGAUGGAAAGACGAGGCCAAGACGAGAGGUGUGAGUGGUAUGCCAGCACCGUCACGCUUUGCUGGACCUGAAAGGAAAGAAACCACGGCGAACUCACAGCUCUGCCCACAAAGACACCUUGACACGCACCUGUCAGAGACAUCAGUGUGGUUUGCGUGCACGUGCACGGGAAAGACACGGCGAGGAGGAGACAGAAAAGGCAGC